rnacentral:rRNA from 1 species
GACGAACGCUGGCGGCGUGCUUAACACAUGCAAGUCGAGCGGAGCGGCGAACGGGUGAGUAACGCGGGAGUAACUGCCUCCCUCUCUGGGAUAACAGUUGGAAACGGCGGCUAAUACCGGAUAGUGGUGGAUGACUCGGGUCCUAUCAGUUUGCUGGUGGGGUAGUGGCCCACCAAGGAGACGACGGGUAGCCGGCCUGAGAUGGCGACCGGCCCCAUUGGGCUGGGAAACCGUCCAAACUCCAACGGGGGGCAGCGAAGGGGCAGAUUGCACAAGGGUGGAAAUCCUGAUGCAGCAGCGCCGGGUGCGGGAUGACGGGCGGCUGGUUGUGAACCGCUUUCAGCAAGGACGCGGUAGUGGCGGAAGAAUCACCAGCUAACUACGUGCCAGCAGCCGCGGUAAUAC